AAAAGAGACUGCGGAAGUCGUGCUCAGUGUCUUCGUCUGAGGUGUUCAUGUCAUUUUCUUCAGUGGUUUUUGGUGCAGCGCCCCCACAGGUGAGGAGGGGAACAGGUUGCUCA